rnacentral:rRNA from 1 species
GAGUUUGAUCAUGGCUCAGAUUGAACGCUGGCGGCAGGCCUAACACAUGCAAGUCGGGCGGUAGAGAGAAGCUUGCUUCUCUUGAGAGCGGCGGACGGGUGAGUAAUGCCUAGGAAUCUGCCUGGUAGUGGGGGAUAACGCUCGGAAACGGACGCUAAUACCGCAUACGUCCUACGGGAGAAAGCAGGGGACCUUCGGGCCUUGCGCUAUCAGAUGAGCCUAGGUCGGAUUAGCUAGUUGGUGAGGUAAUGGCUCACCAAGGCGACGAUCCGUAACUGGUCUGAGAGGAUGAUCAGUCACACUGGAACUGAGACACGGUCCAGACUCCUACGGAGGCAGCAGUGGGGAAUAUUGGACAAUGGGCGAAAGCCUGAUCCAGCCAUGCCGCGUGUGUGAAGAAGGUCUUCGGAUUGUAAAGCACUUUAAGUUGGGAGGAAGGGCAGUAAAUUAAUACUUUGCUGUUUUGACGUUACCGACAGAAUAAGCACCGGCUAACUCUGUGCCAGCA